rnacentral:misc_RNA from 1 species
CCCGAGGCUACGGCUUCGAUGUGAAGCCAGUGGGUUUCCUCCGCGGCAGACGGCGAUGGCGGAGACCGUGCUUCUCCACGUCGCGCCCACGGAUCUCCUCGCGCUUGCCGACCCAUGCGGGCCCACCGCACCGGCGUCCUCUUCCACGCGCCGUCCUGGCCAGAGGAGGAAGGGGAGGAGCGCGUGUGGGCCACAACCACAAAUCCCAUCCCUCUUCCUUCUCAAACACCAUCGCCGUCACCGUGUCAUCGCGGGCCGAAGUCCUCUCUCCUCCAUCUCAAGCGAUGGCAUGAGGUGGAUCUGUAGCACGUACCAGGACGCGGUCGACGACGAGCUAGGGUGCGCGUCCCCGCCCGUCUCCCCCACCGAGGCGCUGGACUGCCACGCUUCUGUUGCCACUGGAC